ACAUCGAGACAGGAGAUGCUUGACAAUGCCAACCUCUGGACUGCAGCCGGAUCUCCAGACACCAACAAUCAGCGUCUGAGUACACCGUGCACAAAGCCAUCCCCACACUCCGGCUGAUAGCUGACCCGCAUUCCUGCCUGGUACCUUGAACUCUGAAAGAAGCAUCACAGAUCAAUAAGGCGGUUGGUGAGAGAGGAGGUGGCGGCAACACUUCCUCCUGUACCCCAUACUUGCCCCACCUCUGCAUCUCAUCUCUGCCCAUGCUUCCACUUCCUCCUCCUGGGUACAUCUUCCAGGCCAUGCAUCUGACCCUAAAGUCACCAAAAGGAAAGUAAGCAUGCGAUAGUUUAAAGUAUUCAGGAAAGACCAUCUCCAAACACAACGGUUUUCCGGAUCUAGUCUUCCUGAGCAAUGGAAGGCACAAGCCACACACCACUGAGCAUUUGCUAGGUGGCUUAUACUAGAAACACAAAACACUCUGAAAUUUAGAGGCAGACAGAGAGGAACAGCAAGUGAACUAGUAAGUUUCAUAUGGAAACACUAACAUUGUAAAUAUUUUGCUUUAAACACGGUAAGAUUAAAGUCAAAGGCCACAUUUCCUCUGACAUUCUUAAAUGAGGCAACUUAGAAUUACAUGUGUGGCUUGCAUUCAAUUUUUCCUGGCCGUAGCUGCUCCAGACAGCUCCUCCUUCAUUAGACAGCCCAGCUUGACAUUAUUAGCCUACUCCCUCAGACUCUCAGAGAAAAGGAGUCC
rnacentral:lncRNA from 1 species